AAGCUCCAUUACACGGUGUUUGAUUCAACGGGCAUAUGUUCAAUCAUAUUUUUCAAUCGUCUUGCUUAUGAUUUGAUUGGCUUCUCAGCUGAGGAGUUGAAGACAAAGGUAGCAAAGGACAAAAACCCAGGUUCUUUUCCAAAAGAAUUGAGCAAUUGUGUGGGGAAAGAAAUGAUCGUCAAGCUAAAGAUCAAAGAAAGCAAUAUUAGGUAUCGAAAUAGUAGUAUGGGUGUUAUCCAGUUCUCUACCGAUAAAAAGAUGCUGAAAAACUUUGCGUACUCUGCUACCGAGGGAAGUCAACUUAAUGAAUCUGAAAAUAUCACUUAUGAGAAGGCUACAGUUGACACUUCAUCAUCACAACCAACAACAUUGUUGUCA